GACGGAGGAUGCAAGUGUUAUCCGGAAUCACUGGGCGUAAAGCGUCUGUAGGUGGUUUAAAAAAGUCCACUGUUAAAAAUUGAAGCUUAACUUCAAAGAUGCCGUGGAAACUUUUAAACUUGAGUAUGAUAGGGGUAGAGGGAAUUUCCAGUGGAGCGGUGAAAUGCGUAGAUAUUGGAAAGACCACCAAUGGCGAAGGCACUCUACUGGGCCAUUACUGACACUGAGAGACGAAAGCUAGGGGAGCGAAUGGG
rnacentral:rRNA from 1 species